GUCUUAAAGAUUAUAAUUUUAGGUUUAAUCUGCCCACUGAAAUAUUUAAAUGGCCGCAGUAUUUUAACUGUGCAAAGGUAGCAUAAUAAUUAGUUUUUUAAUUAAAAGCUUGUAUGAAUGAUUGGACGAGAAAAUAACUUUUUUAUAAUAAAAUGUUGAAUUUUAUUUUUAAAUUAAAAAGUUUAAAUAAAAUUAAAAGACGAGAAGACCCUAUAGAGUUUUAUAUAUAAUAUUUAUAAUUAAUUUUAGAAUUUUAAAUUUUUAUUAAUUUUAUAUAUUUUAUUGGGGUGAUAAAAAAAUUUAUUAAACUUUUUAAAUUAUAAAUUCAAUAAUAAUUGAAUAAUUGAUCUUUAUUUUUGAUUAUUAGAUUAAAUUACCUUAGGGAUAACAGCGUAAUUUUUUUGAAGAGUUCUUAUCGAUAAAAGAGAUUGCGACCUCGAUGUUGGAUUAAGAUAAAUUUUUAAUGUAGAAGUUAAAAUGAUUAAGUCUGUUCGACUUUUAAAAUCUUACAUGAUC
rnacentral:rRNA from 1 species